UGAGCAGCUGCAGUCGGAGAAAUCAGAGAAAGCGUCACCCAGCCCCAGAUUCCGAGAGGCCUGCCAGGGACUCUCUCCUCCUGCUCCUUGGAAAGGAAGACCCCGAAAGACCCCCAAGCCACCGGCUCAGACCUGCUUCUGGGCUGCCAUGGGACUCGCAGCCACUGCCCCCCGGCUGUCCUCCACGCUGCCGGGCAGAUAAGGGCAGCUGCUCCCUUGGGGCACCUGCCCGCUCCCACAGCCCGGCCACUCCUCCAGGGCCAGCCCUUCCCUGACUCAGUGGCCACCUCUGCUGCCCCGAGGCCAUGUAGGCCGUGCUUAGGCCUCUGUGGACACACUGCUGGGGACGGCGCCUGAGCUCUCAGGGGGACGAGGAACACCACCAUGCCCCGGGGCUUCGCCUUGCUGCGCUAAACACUACUUCCCCAUCAACUACAAGAUCAGUGUGCCUUACGAGGGGGUGUUCAGAAUCGCCAACGUCA
rnacentral:sRNA from 1 species